UACGGAGGGAGCUAGCGUUAUUCGGAAUUACUGGGCGUAAAGCGCACGUAGGCGGCUUUGUAAGUAAGAGGUGAAAGCCCGGAGCUCAACUCCGGAACUGCCUUUUAGACUGCAUCGCUUGAAUCCAGGAGAGGUGAGUGGAAUUCCGAGUGUAGAGGUGAAAUUCGUAGAUAUUCGGAAGAACACGAGUGGCGAAGGCGGCUCACUGGACUGGUAGUGACGCUGAGGUGCGAAAGCGUGGGGAGCAAGCAGG
rnacentral:rRNA from 1 species